UCCAGACUCCUACGGGAGGCAGCAGUGGGGGAUAUUGCACAAUGGGGGGAACCCUGAUGCAGCGACGCCGCGUGGGUGAAGGAGCGUUUCGGCGCGUAAAGCCCUAUCGGCAGGGAAGAAGGAGGACGGUACCUGACUAAGAAGCCCCGGCUAACUACGUGCCAGCAGCCGCGGUAAUACGUAGGGGGCAAGCGUUAUCCGGAUUUACUGGGUGUAAAGGGGGCGCAGACGGCAGCGCAAGCCAGGAGUGAAAGCCCGGGGCCCAACCCCGGGACUGCUCUUGGAACUGCGCGGCUGGAGUGCAGGAGGGGCAGGCGGAAUUCCUGGUGUAGCGGUGAAAUGCGUAGAUAUCAGGAGGAACACCGGUGGCGAAGGCGGCCUGCUGGACUGCGACUGACGUUGAGGCCCGAAAGCGUGGGGAGCAAACAGGAUUAGAUACCCCGGCAU
rnacentral:rRNA from 1 species